UAAAUACAGGGGCACCUUAGUAGCUCAUUGGUUAAGUAUCUACCUUCUGCUCAGGUCAUGAUCUCAGGGUCCUGGGUACAAGCCCCACAUCAGGCUCUCU